GGACGGGGCGGGGUGGGUGGAAUUCUGUGCUGCCUCUCAGAGCAGAAUAACCGUACAUAGGCAGUUUCUUGUGUAACUGUACAGCAUGUGGUACAGGGAGAAAAACACUCAACUGUCAAGGUGACAUUGGCUCAGGUGCCUGCUCAGAGCUUUGAGCGUGACGCCAGGACUCCACACACAAAGCCCGAGGGACACAGACUGCUGAGCAGACCCUGUCUUCUGUCUCCCCAGAGCUUGAGAAGUUUGGUUUCGAUGCUCCUGAGAAAACAUUGCUAUGUCAGUGCCUAUGGGGCCUCCCUCUUCACUCUGAGGCAUUUUUAAAUGGUUAUACAGCAUGGGGCAGUGGAAAGCCACCCACCGGUCUGGCCUGAAGUCCAGUGCUGAGGGUACUCACUGAGGGCUUCCUGGCCCUGGGCACCUUGUGUGGGUCACCUCAUCUGAGACUGUGCACCUCCAGGCGUGGGUGGCCCGCCCAGGAGCUCCAUCCUAGAGGUGGGUGCCUGGAUUCAGGGACAGACAGGCUAUCCCAGGCCCUGGCUGCACGUUACAAUCAACCGAGGGCUUCUAUAAGCUGCUGGCACCCAGGCCCCUCCCAGAACACCUGACUGGACUCUCAGGAGAUGACACCUGGCUGUGGGAGUGAUGGAAUAUCCUCAGAGAGUCUAGCUGCAGCCAAAUUUGAAAAGAUGAGAUUAUAGCUGGGUGGUGGUGGUGCACGCCUUUAAUCCUACCACUCAAAAGGCAGAGAUAGGUGGAUCUCUGAGUUCAAGACCAGCCUGGUCUAUAGAGAAAGUCCCAGGACAGCCAGGACUGUACAGAGAAACCCUGUCUUAAAAAAACAAAAACAAAAAACAAACAAACAAAAAAUGGGGUUGUUUAAUUGGUUCACACAGCUAAUUGUUAGAGAACCCAGGCCUAGAGAGGGCUACACCAAAAUAAGAACGAAGCCAGCCACGGCUCCCCUGCAACCUAGAGGCAACCUAGACUGACUACUGUCACAUUUGCAUGGAGUCUCAUUCCCUGGCAGGUAGCCUAAACUACUCUGCCAUGGUCACGCAGCAUAAGGCACAUAUCAAUUAUUAAUUAACUAACCAGUUAAUUAAUUAAAAGCUUGGAAUGGUUAGUUUUUACUGUGAACUUGACACAACCUAGAGUCACUUGGGAAGAAGAAAUCUCAACUGAAGAAUCGUCGUUGUCAAAUUAACCUGUGGCCAUGCCUGUGAGAGACUGUCCGUAUUGAGGACUGAUGUGAGAGGACCCAGCCCACUGUGGGGGGCGCCAAUUCCCUACACAGGUGGUCCUGAUUGUAUAAGAAUCUAGUUGAGCAUGAGCCAGUGAACAAGGCAAGAAUCGGUGUUCCUUCAUGGUUUCUGCUUCAGUUCCUGCUCCGAAUUUCCUCAAUGAAGGACCUCGGCCUGGAUGUGGAGCCAAGAUCUCCUUCCAGGAUGCCAGCAUCCAGGUGUGCGCUCAGAGGCGACUCCUCCAGGCCUGGGCAAGCCCUCAAGCAGCGGAGACUAUACUGUGCUCAGGUUGCUGCCUUGAGUUCCUGCCCUGAACCCCCCUCAGUGACAGAGUGACCAGAGAAUUGUAAGCCAAAAGAAACUCUUUCUUCACCAAGCAGCUUUAGUCACGAUGUUUGAUGACAGCAAUAAAAACAGAGAGAGCUGCUGAGCCAUCUCAACAGUGGUUACGGUCCUGUGCACAUAUCCUAAGUGUGUAGUCGCCUCAAGGACUCUUCCAACAAGUGAAGACCUCACAGAGGUCACAAGGCAGAAUUAGGAGGCUCCACCUGUCGGGGGUGCCCUUCCAAUCACACCCAUCCUGCAGCAACUGGUUUGGGGGUGUUACACGCUGUGCCAUCGCAGCAUCGUGGUGCUUGUUGUUCGGUGCCUGUAUGCACACAGUUCUGGACGGAUGUCAAGCAAACAUGCACUCACCAUCGGCUUUUUGUCCCAGCAGCAGCUCAUGAGCUCAUUGUCCCAACACUUCCCAGGCUUAAAUAUUAACAGUAAGACUUUAAACAGUCUCUGCUGGCCAGAAAAAAAAAUGCCCCUUUCCUACUUUCAAUAUCCCCCAUGGAGAGAAUUCAAGUCACAGAUCCUGGGAGAUGAUAGUGGGUUGUCUUUGCAGGGUCUCUUGAGGCACCAAUAGGCCUCAAGAAAAAGGUUCUAAUCUUGCUAUCCCUGCCCUAGGCCCACCCCUGGCCUGUAAGCCAGACCUCACCUCCUGGUUUAACUCCCAGGAGCACCAUGAGGCUUUGCAGAUAAGUGUCUUUAAAUCACUGCUAAAGAGAAGCAGGGUUGUAAAUACACGAUAAUCCUGGGGCUCAGCAGCAGCAGGUCUGAGGGAGCCAAUCUAUUAAGCGGACCCCUACCCGGCAGCUAAUCCUCAGCCAUCCAGCCCUUCAUCCCACUGCCCUGUGAGCCCUCUGCCAGAGCCUGGAAACACAAGGAAGAGCCCUGAACUCCACGGAGACCUGUCCACGACUGUGCCCAUAGACAGAACUAGGGACCAGCAUAAGGGUUCCAGCUAUAGCCCAGGCCAUACCUCCACAUCUCUAAGCCUUACAAGGAGCCUCUCUGUCCCUAGUCACUGGCCUAGCUCCACUCUUCCAGCAGUGAUCUUAGUGAAGAUAGAUUUGCCUGUUUUCCAGCCCUGGGCCUUUGCAGUGCUCACUCUCUGGGAAGCCUGUGCGGAUCACCUACCCCCGACUGCCUCAUUCUCUGCAACUGUGAAAUGGGGCUAUAGAUAGUACUUACCCUAACAUGGGACAGAACUUGGGAGACUGUUAGUCUCAAUGUCGGGUAGGAGAUUUAAGACAUAUAGAGAGGAAGGCACCACACUGUAUAUAGAGAAGGGUCACACUGCUUGCCUAUGAAAACAUUAGGAAUGGGAUUCAGGUUUCCUGGAUCCCGAGUCCAGAGAGGGGUUUCUGCUGGGUUGUGCACACCAGACAUAGGCGUCACAUCAUAUCCUGAGAAACAGUCUAAGUGGGCGCCACGGAGUCACUGUCCAGUCCUCACCAAAGAGAGCUAACCACCUGCUAGAGCACGAGUUGCUUUAAUCAAGGACUCUGACCUUUCCUGACAGGAGCAACCACUUUCUGAACUGAAGGCAAGUGAGUUCAGAGCAGAGUUUGAAGCCCAAGUGCAUGCUGGGAAGAGAGGUCUUUGUCCCUGGAUCUUACUUAUUCUCUUUUGUAGCCUUGCUCUUGACCUCAGUUUCGUCAUCUUUACACUGACCCGGUGAAGCUGCUGAAGGGACCCUGACUCCUUGCUGACAUGUCCACUCUCUGUGUCAACAUGUACACAUGAGUGUCAGGUGCCCACAGAGGCCAGCGGUGUUGGGAGCAAAGCCCUGGGACCCUCCCUAAGGGCCUGACCUGCCAGAUAAGCACCGAGCGCCAGCAGGCCAUAGCUUCUUACAACCCAUUGUUCCCAAAACUGUUUGCUUUGGGACACAUUCGUGACCACCGAUGUGACCACCGAUGUGACCACCGAUGUUAUCUUCGGGCCUUGUAACUCUUUAACCCACCUUCUUAGCCUUGGGAACUUCUCACCAAGGGUCUUGGUAUUUUUCCACUACUACUCCCCUUUCUCGCCCCUCUCCCCCGCCCUGCCAAAACCAUGUUUUAAAAGAAACACCAAAGUUCAAUAAAAGAGACACUUGACCGGCAA